AAUCAUAAUAGCUGUUCAAGCCGUCAUUAUUGGUUUACUGAUUGCUGCGUUCAUCACAACGGUAAUAUGUCUACUUCGAAUAAUCCAAAAUAGAAAAAAGUCAUCAGAUAACGACAAAGAAUCAUCCGUUCCGGAUCCAAAUUAUACGUCUCUUUCGAAUGAACAGGAAGGAGCGCCACACGUCUAUGAAAUGAUCGUCAAAUAAUCGGGCUGUCACAUUCCCACAACUGACCGUCAUACCAGAUCUAUGCUGCACGACUCAUAUCUGUUAAACAAUGUUGUUACCGAAGGGAUGUUAUAGUACAAACUUCACAACAUAAUGCUUUGUAUGAGUUGUCGGUAUAGAAGUUCACAUAAAUAUUUAACCGUAAAUAUAUGGUUUGAUAACACAUAUAUAGCAAUUAUUUACUUGACAGUUUUUGAUCUGAGUAACAUUUUAAAAACAUUUUUUAUCUUUUGUAAAGAGAUUAACACAUUUGCUUAAUAUUCCAUUCAGUAUGUUUGAGAUUGCUGUAUAAAAUAUCUUGUAGGUUGUACUCGGAAGGACUAUUUCAAUCUAUAUUUUCCUAUUUAUCAUAUAUUCACCGAAAAUAGGUAUAAUCUGCCAACACCUUAGUGCCCUUAAAUCAUUUUGGAAUUUUGAGUCGUACCAUCGUAUUUCUAAUGUAAUCUAUACCUUGAUAAAACACAGAAUACAUAGUGUUAUGUAUAGAUGGUGUGUAUUAAUCCAAAUUCAGAUGUGCCGUGUUUACAUGCAUUGUAUCUUAUUGGUUGUUUACAUAAAAAAACUCCUUAUAAUUAUUUGUCACAAUAUGUGUAGAUCGU